rnacentral:sRNA from 1 species
GCUGGGCGUGUCACAUGCCUGUAAUCCCAGCAGCUUGGGAGGCUGAGGCAGGAGGAUUGCAAGUUUGAGGCAAGCCUCAGCAAAAGCAAGGGUCCAAGCAACUCAGUGAGACCCUGUCUCUA